rnacentral:rRNA from 1 species
UACGAAGGGGGCCAGCGUUGUCCGGAUUUACUGGGCGUAAAGAGCGCGCAGGCGGUCGUUCAAGUCGAGUGUGAAAGCCCCCGGCUCAACUGGGGAGGGUCAUUCGAUACUGAUCGACUUGAAGGCAGGAGAGGGAAGUGGAAUUCCCGGUGUAGUGGUGAAAUGCGUAGAUAUCGGGAGGAACACCAGUGGCGAAGGCGACUUCCUGGCCUGUUCUUGACGCUGAGGCGCGAAAGCUAGGGGAGCAAACGGG